UGGUCUGUGAAGAAGAGAAACUUAACAACAAGAAGAGGGAAAGGGAAGGUCGCCUAAGGAGAAGACACAGGAGUAAUGAGAAGACACAGGAGGUAGAGCAGCACUUGCUGACUCAGAAGCAUUAACAUGAAACGCUGGAGUGCAGGGCACAAUAAUGGUUGACUGCAGCCUCAACCUCCAGGGCUCAAGGGAUCCUUCCACCUCAGCCUCCCCAGUAGUUGGGAUUACACAGUUAUUCCACUGAUUGAAAUCUGUGAUACUUAAUAGCUCUUAUGUCUAAUCAUAUCAAUAUGCAGCUGGAUUGAUACACUCCUGCAGGUGGUUGGGGCUCCUUCACUGCCAUGUAUGUCCCUUUUGUUGCAGAUAUUUCAAGAUUCAGCAUCAUUUCAGACCCUGAAAAAUCCCUGAAAAUUGAAUUCUCAAUAGAUAAUGCAACUCCACAUAAUAUCUGGAUUUUGUAAAUGCUUGCUAAUAAAUUAUUUUACAACGUG